rnacentral:lncRNA from 1 species
CCAUUGCGCCCCACUGUGUCCCAUUGUGUCCCAUUGUGUCCCACUGUGUCACCAUUGUGUCCCACUGUGCCCCACUGCGUCCCUUUGUCCCCACUGUGUCCCAUUGUGUGCCCUAUUGUGUCCUAUAGUGCCCUAUUGUGUCCUAUAGGGCCCCAUUGCGCCCCACUGUGCCCCAUUGU